AAUAGAGACACCGGGCACCGGUUCUCCUCAGAAUGAAGAACCAAAGUUACAGAAUAAUAAGCAUGGCCCAAGUGGAAUAUUGAGGGAGGAGUGCCAGAACCUACUGGAGGACCCACAGGAAGAAGCUGGAGCACAGAACAAGAAGGAAAGAGUUGGGCAAAGAUCGAUCUCCGAGGAGCUUCGAGUUCGGCGGAAAAGAGAGAGUGACUCAGAAACAAAUAACUGACAGUAUACUCUGAAAGCUAUGGAAGCAUGGAAGAAGCAACUAACCAUCCUUUGAGGAGAUGUUUCACACAUAUGUUGGAAUUUGCAAGGUAAAGAUCCUGGAGGAAGAACAUUCCAGAACACAAGAGGAUUACUUUACAAGAGAAGUGGAGAUAUAAAAGAGUCUGAUGUGCUUGAGGAAAAGUGGCCAUGCUGAGAAAGUGUCUCCUCCAAAUGAAGUUCAUUUUCCCAACGACAAAUCCACAAUACCUUAUUGUAAUAUGUUCUGACCCCAUUGUGCCUUUGAUGUCUUUAUUUGAUUUUUCCCCU